GGCCGGCCCCGAGUCCCUCCCUGGCAGCCGCCGGCCGCAGCGGGGGCUCCCGGCGCUUACCCGGCUGCAGAGGGCGAGGAGGACCACGAAGGCGACGCGGACGGGGCCCAUACUGGCGGCGGUCAUGGUUCAAGCGAGUCUCCUGCCUCAGCCUCCUGAGUAGCUGGGACUACACGUGUGUGCCACCAUGCCUGGACAGAGUCUUGCUCUGUUGCCAGAUUGGAGUGAAGUGGCGCGAUCUCAGCUCACUGCACCCUCUGACUCCCUGAUUCAAGUGAUGCUCCUGCCUCAGACUCCCAAGUAUUUCCUAUAUCUUCCUGUCUUUUCCAUGGCCAAAAAUGAUCAAGUAAAGAACAUUAAAGAAGAAAUAAAUUACUACAUAUUAAAAAAUACAUACUGUAAGAUGUUCUUUGUACAAAAAUGUGACAACUUCAAUAAGAGUAACUUGGACAACCUGAGGCAUUAAUUGAGGAUCAAUAUGAUGACUUUACAUUGAGAAUCACAUAUACCCUCUGAAUAAAUUUAAAAAAUGAAAUUUUUUAAUUUUCAUUAAAAAUUAAAUUUUUUUGAGUGAUGAAAAUACUCAAUCACAUUAUUUUCAAAUUGUUGAUAAGCAUGGAAAUUAUCAGAGAACCAGAAUAUUCAAGGUUUAUCUUUCCUGUUUUUGUCUUAAAUCACAACUAUGUGUUAAAUAAUUUGUAUGACCUAUUUCAGUGGCAGUAGGUUAAAUAAAAUUCUGUUUGUAUCUCC
rnacentral:lncRNA from 1 species